rnacentral:pre_miRNA from 1 species
UUCCCCAACGGCUGUCAAUCAUAGAUGAUAAAAUGUGAUUAACGGCUGUGGGGGAGA